rfam:Microbacterium sp. HM58-2 DNA, contig: contig02-a.
GGGGCUGAUCGGUUUCGACAGCGCCUGUGAAUCCACGAGAAGCGGGCCGAGGAUGCAGGGUUAUCUCGUGAACGCUCCCUGCAAAACAAUAAGUGCCGAAUCCAAGCGCACUGACUUCGCCCUCGCUGCCUAAGCGAGCCCGAUAGUCCGUCAGACCGUAUGUGAUUCCGAUACGGAUCCUGGCGUCAUCUAGGAAUCUUGCUGCGUGACGGCGCCUGGACGUCACGUGGGACUCUUCCCAGGCUGGGCUCGUCGACUUAGGUGUCUGUGACAAAGGUCGGAGCCGAGCAGAACGUCUGCACAGACUGCGCCCGGAGAAGGCGUGGAGACUCAGCGUUGGACGGGGGUUCGAUUCCCCCCAGCUCCACCA